GAUUGGUCAAGUGUCGAAUUUAACUCCAGGAUUUCUUUGUUAGUUUUCUGCCUCGAUGAUCUAACUCUGUCAGUGGGAUGUUGAAGUCACCCACUCUCAUGGUGUGGCUAAGUAUUUUUAUCUUUCUCCUACCCUUUACCUUGAGUCUAUCAGUGUCAUCACGUGUAAGAUGGGUCUCUUGAAGACAGCAGAUGGAAAAAUUUUCCAAAGAUGACUUAAAAUAACACUUGAAUUGGAGGGAGGAAGGAAAGCUAAUAUUAUUAGAGCACAACAUCUUAAAUUUUAAAGAAUUAUAUUUGAGAGGAAUAUAUACAAUAGACAGCUUGGAAGAGCGUUCUGGGAAGAAGCAAGAUUCACCUCUCUUCCAAUCUGAAACAUAAUAAAAAUGCCUUUCAUUUGUAUGGUUCUUCAGAGUUUAAACAUGGCUUUUAAGCACAUUUUUCUCUGAGGAAGCUCUUCCUUUGACAGCAUCUUCCUCAGUGCUGCCUUCAUGGCAUCAUUCCGUAAGCUAUAGAUGACUGGAUUGAGUGUUGGAGGUAUCACAGUAUAGAAUACGGAGAAUACAAGGUCCACAGUCGAUGAGGAAUCAGAAGGCAGUCUGAGAAACUCAAAGCCUGCAGCUGAAAGAAAGAAGGUGGCUACAAAUAGGUGUGGUAGGCAGGUGGAGAAGACCUUGGUCCGGCCCUCAGCUGAUGGGAUUCUCAGCACUGUAGAGAAGAUGCGAAUGUAGGAGAGCACAAUGGAGAUCAAACAGAUAAAUGCUGCAGACGUUGUGAAUGCAGCCAGUGCAAUCUCAUUAAUGAAUUCAUAAGAACAGGCUAGUUUCAGCAUCUGAGGAACAUCACAGAAGAAUUGGUGAAUGACUCUCUUCCCACAGAGAGGUAUGGAGAAGUUAAUGGCAGCAUGCAUGAGCCCAGAGAGGCCCCCAGCAAUCCACACAGCUAUCACCGCAUGCCUACAGGCACGGGGAUCCAUAAUAGUCUCAUAAUGAAGUGGUUGACAGAUUGCUGCGUACCUGUCAUAAGACAUCACUGUGAGAAUGGCCACUUCUGAUGAGGCCAGAGCUAUGAAGAAGAAAACCUGAAGAAUGCACUGAACAAGAGAAAUGUAACCGUUGCCCAUAAGUGAAUUUGCAAUGGACUGGGGGACUGUGACAGAGAUGAAGCAGAGGUCCAGAACAGAGAGGUGCUUUAAAAAGUAAUACAUGGGGGAAUGGAGACGACGGUCCACAGUAAUGAUGGUGAUAAUGAGGAGGUUGCCUGUCAAAGCCAGCAGGUAUGUCACCAGAAAUACCAAUGCAUGUAAAAUCUGAAGCUUACGCUCAUCAGAAAACCCCAUAAGAAGGAAUCCACUCAUUGAAGUCAAAUUGACCAUAGUCUCUCUGAAGAUACCAAGUGUGACUCUGUUUAGGAAGCCAAAGAACAGUAGGAAGAAAAUGCAUGACAUCUAAUAUAUUUGUGUGUCAAGUAACUCAAUUCCUCAGCAUGGAGGUACUGAAAUGAGAUGAAUUUAUUUUCAUUGUGAUUAGUUAAUAUUCAAUUCAAAAACGUUUUAGCAAUUAUUCAGAAAUAGAAUCCCUGAAUGUGAUCAACAAGUCAUAAACAUUUUCUGGAGCAGAGUUUGCAUUGUCAAAGAGGGAGAAAUUGAUGGAAAUGAUAAAGUCUUUACCUUCAAUAAAGUCAAUGAAAAUGAUUCUAGCAUACCAAUCUCAUUACAUCUUCUAUAUGAUGCCUUAGUAUUACAACGAUGCACUAUAUAGCUUCUUUUGCUAACCAGCUAACAUGAAGUUAUUGAUACCGCCUUGCAAAUGGAUCUAGAAACAGCUCAGAGGCAGAUCUAGAAACAGCUCAGAAGCUAAUCUAGAAGACAGGUUAGCUCAAAGAACAGUCAUAUUUUUUCCUUUGAAAAGCUCUUAACAUUUUAAAAAGAUUACAUUUGAUUGUAAUAAACUUUUCAUAGAAAUUUUGAAAAAUGAAAUGUCUCAAAAUUGUAAAAUGCAGAUGCCACUGAUAUCAGGCAUUGAAUCCUGAGCUUUGGAGAUCUUGCAACUAAGUGACAAAGUUCACCGUCAAAGAACGUUUAAUUCUCAAAAUUCUUAUGACAACUUGGGGUUGGACAUUUUCAAUCAAAUCCAUUUGAAGAAAUAAAGAGAUUUUCUAAAAUC